rnacentral:rRNA from 1 species
AGAGUUUGAUCCUGGCUCAGGAUAAACGCUGGCGGCGUGCUUUAUGCAUGCAAGUCGAACGGUUCCGAUUUAUCGGAACAGUGGCAGACGGGUGAGUAACACGUAAGUAACCUGCCCCCAAGUAGGGAAUAACUCUGAGAAAUUGGAGCUAAUACCUUAUGUGUUGGUGAGGGUAAGGCCUCAUCAAUAAAGUCUUAGGAUGCUUGGGGAGGGGCUUGCGUCCGAUUAGCUAGUUGGUAGGGUAAUGGUCUACCAAGGCGAUGAUCGGUAGCUGGUUUGAGAGGACGGCCAGCCACACUGGGACUGAGACACGGCCCAGACUCCUACGGGAGGCAGCAGCAAGGAAUAUUGUGCAAUGGGCGAAAGCCUGACACAGCGACGCCGCGUGAGGGAUGAAGGCCUUCGGGUUGUAAACCUCUUUUCUCAGGGAAGAAAAAUGACGGUACCUGAGGAAUAAGUCUUGGCUAACUACGUGCCAGCAGCCGCGGUAAUACGUAGGAGGCGAGCGUUAUUCGGAUUUAUUGGGCGUAAAGAGGGCGUAGGCGGCUUUUCAAGUCGGAUGUAAAAUCUCCCGGCUCAACUGGGAGGCACCAUGCGAUACUGUUAGGCUAGAGGACAGCAGAGGGAGGUGGAAUUCCCGGUGUAGUGGUGAAAUGCGUAGAUAUCGGGAGGAACACCAGUGGCGAAGGCGGCCUCCUGGGCUGUUUCUGACGCUGUGGCCCGUAAGCGUGGGGAGCAAACAGGAUUAGAUACCCUGGUAGUCCACGCCGUAAACGAUGGACACUAGGUAUGGGGAGUAUCGACCCUCUCUGUGCCGAAGCUAACGCUUUAAGUGUCCCGCCUGGGGAUUACGGCCGCAGGCUAAACUCAAAGGAAUUGACCGGGGCCCGCACAGCAGCGAAGCGUGUGCUUAAUUCGAUGCACGCGAAGAACCUUACCAGGCUUGACAUGUCGGAGUAGCGACCGAAAGGAAGCGACCUGUUAAAUCAGAGCCGUCACAGUGCUGCAUGCCUGUCGUCAGCUCGUGCCGUGAGGUGUUGGUUAGUCCCGUACCGAGCGCCACCCCUCGUUGCCAGUUAUUUUCUUUGGCCGGACUGCCCCGCGUAACGGGAGAAGGUGGGAUGAGCUCAGUCACGCACCGCCCCCUUAUGCCUGCUCACACACCCCCUUAAAUGGGUGUCAAUUGUAACAGGAGGAUCCGGACUAUUCCUUAAACAUCUAUACUCGGAAUUGGUAAGCUGAAUU